UGCUGGGAGCAACCCCAAAUCCGAGCACCCGCGGGGUCCCCGGGGGGCACUGCCUGCACUCCCCCCAGUCUCUGCCUCCCGAGCCUCAGCCCCAGUGCCAGGGAUCAGCGCAUAAGCAGGCUGUGUUUUGGUCCAUCCACCCUCUCCAGCUUCUCAAAGUGUUUCCUGGCAUUCCGGAUGUUGAUCAGCGUGGCCGCAGAAGCUGUGACGGAAAAGGAACAGGGGAGAUAAAAAGAAGUUAAAAAGGGUUUCUCUUGGCUCUAACUUACGUAUGGAAGGGUCUGACAUGACCACCAUCACAUAGGUGUUGGAUGUGAAGAUGUCAAUGAAAGCAGCAAAAUUGGAGUUCCUGACCUCCAUGCUCUGGAAAGAAGCUGCCAGCUUACUGAAAAACAAGGAAAUAAAGGGGAAAAAAAGAGUGAA